GCUGGUGUUGCUCAAUGGUUAAGAGCGUUGGCCAGUGCACCAAAGGGUCAUGGGUUUGAUUCCCAGUCAAGAGUA
rnacentral:tRNA from 1 species